rnacentral:rRNA from 1 species
AGAGUUUGAUCCUGGCUCAGGACGAACGCUGGCGGCGUGCUUAACACAUGCAAGUCGAACGGAAAGGCCCUGCUUUUGUGGGGUGCUCGAGUGGCGAACGGGUGAGUAACACGUGAGUAACCUGCCCUUGACUUUGGGAUAACUUCAGGAAACUGGGGCUAAUACCGGAUAGGAGCUCCUGCUGCAUGGUGGGGGUUGGAAAGUUUCGGCGGUUGGGGAUGGACUCGCGGCUUAUCAGCUUGUUGGUGGGGUAGUGGCUUACCAAGGCUUUGACGGGUAGCCGGCCUGAGAGGGUGACCGGCCACAUUGGGACUGAGAUACGGCCCAGACUCCUACGGGAGGCAGCAGUGGGGAAUAUUGCACAAUGGGCGGAAGCCUGAUGCAGCAACGCCGCGUGCGGGAUGACGGCCUUCGGGUUGUAAACCGCUUUCGCCUGUGACGAAGCGUGAGUGACGGUAAUGGGUAAAGAAGCACCGGCUAACUACGUGCCAGCAGCCGCGGUGAUACGUAGGGUGCGAGCGUUGUCCGGAUUUAUUGGGCGUAAAGGGCUCGUAGGUGGUUGAUCGCGUCGGAAGUGUAAUCUUGGGGCUUAACCCUGAGCGUGCUUUCGAUACGGGUUGACUUGAGGAAGGUAGGGGAGAAUGGAAUUCCUGGUGGAGCGGUGGAAUGCGCAGAUAUCAGGAGGAACACCAGUGGCGAAGGCGGUUCUCUGGGCCUUUCCUGACGCUGAGGAGCGAAAGCGUGGGGAGCGAACAGGAUUAGAUACCCUGGUAGUCCACGCUGUAAACGGUGGGUACUAGGUGUGGGGUCCAUUCCACGGGUUCCGUGCCGUAGCUAACGCUUUAAGUACCCCGCCUGGGGAGUACGGCCGCAAGGCUAAAACUCAAAGGAAUUGACGGGGCCCCGCACAAGCGGCGGAGCAUGCGGAUUAAUUCGAUGCAACGCGUAGAACCUUACCUGGGUUUGACAUGGAUCGGGAGUGCUCAGAGAUGGGUGUGCCUCUUUUGGGGUCGGUUCACAGGUGGUGCAUGGCUGUCGUCAGCUCGUGUCGUGAGAUGUUGGGUUAAGUCCCGCAACGAGCGCAACCCUUGUUCACUGUUGCCAGCACGUUAUGGUGGGGACUCAGUGGAGACCGCCGGGGUCAACUCGGAGGAAGGUGGGGAUGACGUCAAGUCAUCAUGCCCCUUAUGUCCAGGGCUUCACGCAUGCUACAAUGGCUGGUACAGAGAGUGGCGAGCCUGUGAGGGUGAGCGAAUCUCGGAAAGCCGGUCUCAGUUCGGAUUGGGGUCUGCAACUCGACCUCAUGAAGUCGGAGUCGCUAGUAAUCGCAGAUCAGCAACGCUGCGGUGAAUACGUUCCCGGGGCUUGUACACACCGCCCGUCAAGUCAUGAAAGUUGGUAACACCCGAAGCCGGUGGCCUAACCGUUGUGGGGGAGCCGUCGAAGGUGGGACUGGUGAUUAGGACUAAGUCGUAACAAGGUAGCCGUACCGGAAGGUGCGGCUG